UGCCAGGCCUGAAGGGAGGCGACCCCCUGUGGGCAGGGACACCACUCGGGGAAGGAAGGGGCCUGGGCAGGAUAGGGAGGUGUGCGAGGGGACGGGGCGGCCAGCAGCCCUUGAUGGUGAUCGUGAUCGAUCACUACAGGCUUCUCAGCAUUUGGCUGUGUUUGCUGGAUCGGCUUUUCAUUUUAUUAACUUUAAUUUGUAACUGGGUCGAUCAGCAAUUGUUCUUCCUGGAGGGUGUAAUUAGGAUUAUAAAUAAAGCCAAGUGGAGGGUUUGGACGACCCACAGCUGUGCAUUCUGUGCGGUAGUGGGUCCCCCUCGGCACCCUCCCCGGAGAACCCAUUUUCCAACAAUAGGUAUGUUGCUUCACAGGCUCCAGGGGAAACCAGUCGCCUCAGAGAGUCCUCACAUCUCCCUGUUUGGAAGGAAUCCGCUUGGCAACCUUGAUCUUCUAGGGACCUGUCUGCUUGGGGAUUUCCUGGAGGGGAGCCCUUUGAAUUUGGUGCCCAAAGCUCUACAUCAAGUCCAGAAGUCACUUCUCCUGCAUGAAACUUCCCAUGCGCCUAACACUUCCCAUCUGCCCCGUCCGAGCUGGACCGGUACUAAUGCAGAGAAAGGAAAACCUACAUCCCCACAAAGACCACAGAAGUUCGUGGCAGCCUUACUAACAAUAGCUGCAGGCUGGAAACAACCCGAAUGCCCCCAAACGAGGGAACCAGUCAACAAUCUGUGAUUUAGCCACACGAUGGACUAUUACUCAGCAAGAAAAAGGAAAGAACCGCCUACAGACACAACCAUAUGGCUGAAUCUCGAAAUUAUGGGGCAGAGAGGAAAGACAUGAGGGUCCAAACUAUAUGUUGAUAUAGAUGGGCAAAUCUGGUCUACGGAGACAGAAAGCUGAUCGGUGGCUGCCUGGGGCAUGGGAAGAAGACACACGGGAACAUUUUUGGCCGAUGGAAAUGUUCUCUGCCUUGAUUACUGUGCUGGGUACACAGCACAUACGUUGAGGACUUCUCAAGCAGUACAUCUAAAACGGGUGCACUUUACUGUAUGUAAAUCAGUCCUCAAUAAAGUUGAUUUAAAAAGUCA